rnacentral:rRNA from 1 species
GUGAACGCUGGCGGUAGGCCUAACACUUGCAAGUCGAACGGCAGCACAGUAAGAGCUUGCUCUUACGGGUGGCGAGUGGCGGACGGGUGAGGAAUACAUCGGAAUCUACUUUUUCGUGGGGGAUAACGUAGGGAAACUUACGCUAAUACCGCAUACGACCUACGGGUGAAAGCAGGGGAUCUUCGGACCUUGCGCGAUUGAAUGAGCCGAUGUCGGAUUAGCUAGUUGGCGGGGUAAAGGCCCACCAAGGCGACGAUCCGUAGCUGGUCUGAGAGGAUGAUCAGCCACACUGGAACUGAGACACGGUCCAGACUCCUACGGGAGGCAGCAGUGGGGAAUAUUGGACAAUGGGCGCAAGCCUGAUCCAGCCAUACCGCGUGGGUGAAGAAGGCCUUCGGGUUGUAAAGCCCUUUUGUUGGGAAAGAAAAGCAGCAGGUUAAUACCCCGCUGUUCUGACGGUACCCAAAGAAUAAGCACCGGCUAACUUCGUG